CAGCCGCCGCGGUAAUACGUAGGUGGCAAGCGUUGUCCGGAAUUAUUGGGCGUAAAGCGCGCGCAGGCGGCCUAUCCAGUCUGUCUUAAAAGUUCGGGGCUCAACCCCGUGAUGGGAUGGAAACUAGUAGGCUAGAGUAUCGGAGAGGAAAGCGGAAUUCCUAGUGUAGCGGUGAAAUGCGUAGAUAUUAGGAAGAACACCAGUGGCGAAGGCGGCUUUCUGGACGAAAACUGACGCUGAGGCGCGAAAGCCAGGGGAGCGAACGGGAUUAGAUACCCGUGUAGUCCCUGUCUCUUAUACA
rnacentral:rRNA from 1 species